UGAGCAAUCUGCCCUUCUCAUCGGAAUAAGCGUUGGAAACGACGUCUAAUGCCGAAUACGACCUCCUUUCGCAUGAUCGGAGGUGGAAAGCUCCGGCGGAGAAGGAUGAGCUCGCGGCCUAUCAGCUAGUUGGUGUGGGUAAUGGCCCACCAAGGCGACGACGGGUAGCCGGCCUGAAAGGGUGACCGGCCACACUGGGACUGAGACACGGCCCAGACUCCUACGGGAGGNAG
rnacentral:rRNA from 1 species